AAGGAUUUAAGUUAACUAAAACUAGUAACCUUCAAAGUUACAAAUAAAGAACACUCCUUUAAGCCUUA
rnacentral:tRNA from 1 species